AGAGUUUGAUCAUGGCUCAGAUUGAACGCUGGCGGCACGCCUAACACAUGCAAGUCGAGCGGCAGCGCGGAUAGUAGCAAUACUAUUUGGCGGCGAGCGGCGGACGGGUGAGGAACGCGUAGGAACUUGACCUUUAGAGGGGGAUAACCAAGGGAAACUUUGGCUAAUACCGCGUAGACUCGGAAGAGGAAAGCUGCCUUUAGGGGUGGCGCUAGAGGGGAGGCCUGCGUCCGAUUAGCUAGUUGGUGAGGUAAGAGCUCACCAAGGCGAUGAUUGGUAACUGGUCUGAGAGGACGACCAGUCACACUGGGACUGAGACACGGCCCAGACUCCUACGGGAGGCAGCAGUGGGGAAUAUUGGACAAUGGGGGCAACCCUGAUCCAGCGAUGCCGCGUGGGUGAAGAAGGCCUUCGGGUUGUAAAGCCCUUUAGGUUAGGAAGAAAGGUAGCGGGUUAAGAGCUAGUUACUGUGACGGUACUAACAGAAUAAGCACCGGCAAACUCUGUGCCAGCAGCCGCGGUAAUACAGAGGGUGCGAGCGUUAAUCGGAAUUACUGGGCGUAAAGGGCGCGUAGGCGGUGAUACAUGUGUGAUGUGAAAGCCCCGGGCUUAACCUGGGAAGUGCAUCGCAAACUGUGUUACUGGAGUAUAUGAGAGGGUGGCGGAAUUUCCGGUGUAGCGGUGAAAUGCGUAGAGAUCGGAAGGAACGUCGAUGGCGAAGGCAGCCACCUGGCAUAAUACUGCGCUGAGGCGCGAAAGCGUGGGGAGCGAACAGGAUUAGAUACCCUAGUAGUCC
rnacentral:rRNA from 1 species